AUUGAACGCUGGCGGCAGGCCUAACACAUGCAAGUCGAACGAGUGGCGGACGGGUGAGUAAUGUCUGGGAAACUGCCUGAUGGAGGGGGAUAACUACUGGAAACGGUAGCUAAUACCGCAUACCAUCGGAUGUGCCCAGAUGGGAUUAGCUAGUAGGUGGGGUAAAGGAUCACCUAGGCGACGAUCCCUAGCUGGUCUGAGAGGAUGACCGGCCACAAGGGAACUAGGACACGGACCAGACUCCUACGGGAGGCGGCAGUGGGGAAUAUUGCAAAAGGGGCGCAAGCCUGAUGCAGCCAUGCCGCGUGGAUGAAGAAGGCCUUCGGGUUGUAAAGUACUUUCAGCGGGGAGGCGGUACCCGCAGAGGAAGAACCGGCUAACUCCGUGCCAGCAGCCGCGGUAAUUC
rnacentral:rRNA from 1 species